rnacentral:rRNA from 1 species
ACUCCUGCCGAUGGAUAUCUUGGCUCUCGCAACGAUGAAGAACGCAGCGAAAUGCGAUACGUAGUGCGAAUUGCAGAAUUCAGUGAAUCAUCGAACCUUUGAACGCAAAUGGCGCAUCCGGGCUCCGCUCGGACGCAUGUCUCUUCGAGGGGCGCCUCCAUCCUCCUCGGAGCGAGAGAGCUCUCUCUCUCGUCUCCGGAGCCGGCGGCCGCGCGGGGGAGCCUCGGCCCCCUCGCGCGCCCGCCCAAGGCUGCCUUGCGAGCGCGGCGGCGGCGUCUAACCCGCGUCCCCGCCGGAGUGCUAAGUCCACGACUAGACCUCCGGCGGACGCGUGCCCCGUUCUGCCUCGCGACCCCCCGGCGUGCGCGGUGCCUCUCCUCUCCUCCGGGAGAGCGAGGCCCGCCCGCCCCGGCGCGCGGCCGCUCUCUGUGCGGCCGCGCGCCUCGAAACCCGCCAUCGAAUGAGGCAAGACUACCCGCUGAACUUAAGCAUAUCACUAAGCGGAGGAGAAGAAACUAACCAGGAUGCCCCUAGUAAUGGCGAAUGAAGCGGGCUGAGCUCACGCUGCCAAUCUGGAGGCCUCGCGUAUGCAGCGCCCCCCGAAUUGUGGUCUAGAGAGGCGUUAUCGGCCGCGCCCGCCGCUCAAGUCCCUUGGAACAGGGUGUCGGAGAGGGUGAGAAUCCCGUACCGUGGCGGGUUGCGCCCUUACGAUGCGUCCUCGUCGAGUCGGGUUGCUUGGGAUUGCAGCUUGAAUUGGGUGGUAAAUUCCAUCUAAAGCUAAAUACUGGCGAGAGACCGAUAGCGAACAAGUACCGUGAGGGAAAGAUGCAAAGAACUUUGAAAAGAGAGUCAAAGAGUGCUUGAAAUCGGUAGGAGGAAACCCGGAUGGGCCCGGCUUCGGCGCGCCGACUCAGCCUGGGGUUCUCCCCAGGUGCACUUCUGCGCGCCGGGUCAGCCGCGCCUCGGCGCCGCGCCUCAACCCGGGAGCGGGGCUUUACGGCCAGCUCCCGUCCUGGCGCGGCCCGGGGCCCGGCUGACGGAACGGGCCCCUCCGACCCGUCUAGAAACACGGACCAAGGAGUCUGACACGUGUGCGAGUACCCGGGUGGCAAGCCCGCGUGCGGAAUGAAAGUGAAGGGCAUGCCCUGCCAACCGACCUUGACCUGCUGUGAGGGGUUUGAGUGGAGCACACCUGUCGGGACCCGAAAGAUGGUGAACUAUGCCUGGGUAGGGUGAAGCCAGAGGAAACUCUGGUGGAGGCUCGUAGCGAUACUGACGUGCAAAUCGUUCGUCGAAUCUGGGCAUAGGGGCGAAAGACUAAUCGAACCAUCUAGUAGCUGGUUCCCUCCGAAGUUUCCCUCAGGAUAGCUUGAACGCAACGGUUUUGUCAGGUAAAGCGAAUGAUUAGAGGCCUGUGGGCUGAAACAGCUUGCACCUAUUCUCAAACUUUAAAUGGGCAAGAGGCCCGGGAUGCUUGAGUGAUCCCGGGCGGCGAACGGCGCGUUCAAAGUGGGCCAUUUUUGGUAAGCAGAACUGGCGAUGCGGGAUGAACCGAACGCCGCGCUAAGGUACCCAAGUGUCCGCUCAUCAGAUACCACAAAAGGCGUUGGUACCUCCAGACAGCAGGACGGUGGCCAUGGAAGUCGGAACCCGCUAAGGAGUGUGUAACAACUCACCUGCCGAAGGUACUAGCCCUGAAAAUGGAUGGCGCUCAAGCGGACCACCGAUGCGCGGCCGCCGGCGCGAGCGCGAGGCGCCGGCGAGUAGGAGGGCGCGGGGCUCGCGGCGCAGCCUUGGGCGCGAGCCUGGGUGAAGCGGGCCCCGGUGCAGAUCUUGGUGGUAGUAGCAAAUAUUCAAAUGAGAACUUUGAAGACUGAAGUGGAGAAAGGUUCCGUGUGAACAGCAGUUGGACACGGGUGAGCCGACCCUAAGAGACAGGAAAACUCCGCCGAACGCGGCUGGUUCUGUCAGCCCGUCCGUCGAAAGGGAAUCGGGUUAAUAUUCCCGAGCCAGCGCGUGGAUGGUGGGCGGCGACGCGAACGAACCCGGAGACGCCGGCGGGAGCCCUGGGAAGAGUUCUCUUUUCUUCUUAACUGCCUCCUGCCCUGGAAUCGGUUUAGCCGGAGCGAGGGCUACACGGCAGGCAAAGCACCCUAAGUCUUGGGGUGUCCGGCGCGCUCCCGACGGCCCGUGAAAAUCCGGGGGAGCGGUUCGUUCUCACGCCUGGUCGUACUCAUAACCGCAUCAGGUCUCCAAGGUGAACAGCCUCUAGUCGAUAGAGCAAUGUAGGUAAGGGAAGUCGGCAAAAUGGUUCCGCAACCUCGGGAGAAGGAAUGGCUCUGAAGGCUGGGCGCAGGGGUCCUAGGCUCGAGGCCGGCUGGCUGCGCGGGGACUACGGCCUCACGGCUGCGGAUCCCGCGCGGCCGUCCGGCGGACGGCCUAGGAGCGCUCCGGCUCUCCCUGCGCGACGAACAGCCGCUUCAGAACUGGCGCGGACAAGGGGAAUCCGACUGUUUAAUUAAAACAAAGCAUUGCGAUGGCCCGCGAGGGUGCUGACGCAAUGUGAUUUCUGCCCAGUGCUCUGAAUGUCAAAGUGAAGAAAUUCAACCAAGCGCGGGUAAACGGCGGGAGUAACUAUGACUCUCUUAAGGUAGCCAAAUGCCUCGUCAUCCAAUUAGUGACGCGCAUGAAUGGAUUCGUGAGAUUCCCACUGUCCCUAUCUACUGUCUAGCGAAACCACAGCCAAGGGAACGGGCUUGGAAGAAUCAGCGGGGAAAGAAGACCCUGUUGAGCUUGACUCUAGUCUGUUACUGUGGAACGACUUGAUGGGUGUAGAAUAUGCGGGAGGGGCAACCCGACAGUGAAAUACCGCAACCGUCAACGUUGUUUUACUUACUCGGUGGCGCGGAGGGAGGCUCGCCUCACUUCUGGAUCCAAGCCGCUUCGUGCGCGCGAUCCGCGUCGGGGACACUAACAGGUGGGGAGUUUGGCUGGGGCGGCACGUCUGUUAAAAAAUAACGCAGGCGCCCGAUUUUGAGCUCAAUGAGAACAGAAAUCUCAUGUGGACCGAAAGGGGAAAAGCUCGGUUGAUUUUGAUUUUCAGUACGAAUACAAACCGCGAAAGCGUGGCCUAUCGAUCCUCUCGUCUUUGGGAAUUUCAAGCUAGAGGUGUCAGAAAAGUUACCACAGGGAUAACUGGCUUGUGGCUGCCAAGCGUUCAUAGCGACGUAGCUUUUUGAUCCUUCGAUGUCGGCUCUUCCUAUCACUGCCUCGCAGCGGGGGCCAAAUGCAGGAUUGUUCACCCACCAACAGGGAACGUGAGCUGGGUUUAGACCGUCGUGAGACAGGUUAGUUUUACCCUACUGCUGUCUGUUUUUCUACGGUAAUUUGGUUCAGUACGAGAGGAACCACCAAUUCGCAUCAUCGGUAUAGCCGCCGCCGGAAACGGCGAUGCGGCGAAGCUGCCAUGCGCCGGAUUAUAACUGAACGCCUCUAAGUUAGAAUCCAUGCCGGAAGGAAAGCCACCUACCGGCCCGGGGACGCCACGAGCAACGGUAGCACUGCCUGAGCCGCGAGCGACCACAAUUCACGGACCCGGGCCGACGAAUCCCUUGCAGACGACUUGAAUAAGGAACGGGGUAUUGUACGCGGCAGAGUGGCCUUGUUGCCACGAUCCGCUGAGAUUCAGCCUUGGUUCUGACGAUUUGUUGCGCGCGCGCAACAACCCUCAGGGCCUCUCCCGUUCCCCAGUCGCUCUCCUGGCGCUCUCGCCCCCUCGCCUCUCCUCCGAGCCUCACUCGCUCGGGGGCGGAGCCGAGGGGGCGAGAGCGCCAAUUUUGCCCAAGGCAGCGCGCAGGCCACUGCGCAGACACACCCGGCUCUCCCCGAGCCGCCACUGGGCGCUCCCGCGGUCCCCUCCGGGCUGAAUGCGGCCUCCGGAGCGGGCGGCGCGAGCGUCUAAGUCUACUCAGAGCCUCCACGCUCUUCUUUCCGUUCCAAAGCACCCACUGCGCUCCUCUGUAGCAUCGCCCGGCCAACUCGCUUGCCCACUGUCAUUGCCCCCGCCGCCCUCUCACUGUGGCCACCCUGUACCGUUUCCUCCACCGCCCUCGCCACCACCCUCGCCACCGCCCUCGCCACCGCCCUCGCCACCGCCCCCACGCCGCCGCUACCAUUCCGGCCACCCUCGCCGCCCCCACCCUCAUCCCCACCUUGCCCCCGCCGCCCGUUGCAGCUGCAAUCCCCACCCGCCCUCCGACGCUAGCCCCCGCCCUCACCGCCGCCCUCACCGCCGCCCGCGCCGCCACCCUCGCCGCCAUCCUCGCCUCCGCCUCCCGCCCCGCCGCCGCCGCCCUCCAGCAUGCCGCCGCUUCUCACCCUCUCCGCUCCAGGCCGCCCCACCGCCCUAGCUGGCCGCCCCCCCCUCGUCACCACCGUCACCUCCACCGCCCUCGCCGCCGGCCUGCCCCAAGGCAGUGCGCAGGCCACUACGCAGACACACCCGGCUCUCUCCGAGCCGCCACUGGGCGCUCCCGCGGUCCCCUCCGGGCUGAAUGCGGCCUCCGGAGCGGGCGGCGCAAGCGUCCUACCCCCUCAGAGCCUUCCAUGCUCUUCUUUGCGUUUUCCGAAGCACACAGCACUCCUCUAGCAUCACCCACAAGUCACCUCCGUUGCCACUGUCCUUGGACCUCCUCACCGCCACCGCCCUCCUCACCACCGUCUCCACCGCCGCUGCUCUCACCACCCUCGCCACCACCACCAUGCCCGCCUCCCUCGCUGCCACCCACGCCGCCGCCACCGCCCCCACCCCCUCCGCUGCCCUCGCCCUUGCCGUCACCGCGCCGCGAGAUCUCUUACACUAUCCCCCGACCCUUGCCGCCGCCCUUGCCGCCGCCCUCGCUGCCGCCCUCGCCGCCGCCUCCCGCCUCGCCGCGCCGCCCUCACCCCUGCCUCCCUCGGCCUGCUGCCACUCUCACCACCCCUCGCCCUCGCCGCCGCCGCCCUCCUCGCCGCCGGGGCCCGCCCUCGCAGCCACGGCACCCUUGCCCCCUCCACCCUCCUCUCCGCCCCCGCCCCCGCCCCAGCUCGCCGUCGCCCUNNNNNNNNNNNNNNNNNNNNNNNNNNNNNNNNNNNNNNNNNNNNNNNNNNNNNNNNNNNNNNNNNNNNNNNNNNNNNNNNNNNNNNNNNNNNNNNNNNNNCAUCCCCACCCCCAUCUUCCGCCCCUUCUUUCUCGCUCCUCACCCCACGAACCCACGAACCAUCACCACCGCCGUUGCCACCGAGCACUGUCCCCACCGCCUCCCCCGGGCCUGCCGCCGCUCUCGCCCUCCGCUCCCCACCCCCGCAGCUCCUCCCCGCCCCCUCCGGACCUCCCACGCCGCCGCCGCCAUCCCAGCCGCUGCCAGCCCACCCGCCCUUGCGCUUUUGCCACCACCUCCCUCGUCUCCUCCGCCCCCACCACCACCGCUGUCACCGCCGCCCUCGCCGCCGCCACCAUCCCAGCCACCCUCGCCGCCCCCACCUUCACCGCCGCCCUUACUCGCAGCCACCCUCCCCACACCGCCGCCCUCGUUGCCGCCCUCGCCACUGCCGCCGCCCUCUCACCCGCCGUCCCUACCGCCGCGCCCUCGCCGCUGCCCUCCCCGCCCCCUCCCAACACCCGCCAGCCUCCGCCGCACCGGCCGGCAUGCCACCGCUCUUGCCCUCGCCCCCCGCCGCCAUUGCCGCCUCCGUCACCGCCGCCGCCACCCUCGAGCCUCCGGUCACCACCGUCUCCACCGCCGCCCUCGCCGCCACACCGCCCUUAGCUCACCCCCACCCCCAUCGUUGCUGCCGUCGCCGCCACCUACCACGCCCCCGCCGCCCUCGCUGCCGCCUUGCCGCCCCCCCACCCUCAUCCUUACCAUUGCCCCCGCCACCCUCGCAGCCACCCUCGCCCCCACCGCCCUCGUCGCUGCCCUCGCCGCCGCCGCCGCCUCCACCCUCACCCUUACCAUUGCCCCCGCCAAUCAUCGAAUCGAGCAAUGGGAGCGCUUGUCGCACGGCGUUGUCCGUCGAGCGAUUGCGGUUCACGGACGUUGU